CAUACCACCCUGAACGCGCCCGAUCUCGUCUGAUCUCGGAAGCUAAGCAGGGUCAGGCCGGUUAGUACCUGGAUGGGAGAGCAUUUGAGAAUAUUUGAUC
rnacentral:rRNA from 1 species